rnacentral:misc_RNA from 1 species
GAUGAAGAACGCAGCGAAAUGCGAUACGUAACGUGAAUUGCAGAAUUCAGUGAAUCAUCGAGUCUUUGAACGCACAUUGCGCCCCCUGGUAUUCCGGGGGGCAUGCCUGUCCGAGCGUCAUUGCUGCCCUCAAGCACGGCUUGUGUGUUGGGCCUCCGCCCCCCGGCUCCCGGGGGGCGGGCCCGAAAGGCAGCGGCGGCACCGCGUCCGGUCCUCGAGCGUAUGGGGCUUCGUCACCCGCUCCGUAGGCCCGGCCGGCGCCCGCCGGCGACCCCCCUCAAUCUUUCCAGGUUGACCUCGGAUCAGGUAGGGAUACCCGCUGAACUUAAGCAUAUCAAUAAGCGGAGGA